rnacentral:rRNA from 1 species
UACGUAGGCAGCAAGCGUUGUUCGGAAUUACUGGGCGUAAAGAGUGUGUAGGCGGUGUUCUAAGUCUGGUGUGAAAUCUCCCGGCUCAACUGGGAGGGUGCGCUAGAAACUGGAAUGCUAGAGGAUGGGAGAGGUAAGCGGAAUUCCUGGUGUAGCGGUGAAAUGCGUAGAUAUCGAGAGGAACACCUGCGGCGAAGGCGGGUUGCUGGGCUGACACUGACGCUGACAGCGCGAAAGCUAGGGGAGCGAACGGG